AGUGAACGCUGGCGGUAGGCCUAACACAUGCAAGUCGAACGGCAGCACAGUGAGCGUUUGCUCUUACGGGUGGCGAGUGGCGGAUGGGUGACGCAUACAUCGGAAUCUACUUUUUCGUGGGUGAUAUCGUAGGGACACUUACGCUAAUACCGCAUACAACCUACGGCUGAAAGCAGGAGAGCUUCGGACCUUGCGCGACACUAUUAGCCGAUGUCGCAUUAGCUAGUUGGCGGGGUAAAGGCACACCAAGGCGACGAUCCGUAGCUGGUCUGAGAGGAUGAUCAGCCACACUGGAACUGAGACACGGUCCAGACUCCUACGGGAGGCAGCAGUGGGGAAUCUUGCGCAAUGGGCGCAAGCCUGAUCCAGCCACACCGCGUGAGUGAAGAAGGUCUUCGGAUUGUAAAGCCCUGUUAUUAGGAAAGAAAAGAAGUAUAUGAAUCCCUGGAUGUUUUGACGGUACCUAAACAGAAAGCAACGGCUAACUACGUG
rnacentral:rRNA from 1 species